GACGGAGGAUGCAAGCGUUAUCCGGAAUGAUUGGGCGUAAAGCGUCCGCAGGUGGCAGUUCAAGUCUGCUGUCAAAGACCGGGGCUUAACUUCGGAAAGGCAGUGGAAACUGAACAGCUAGAGUGUGGUAGGGGCAGAGGGAAUUCCUGGUGUAGCGGUGAAAUGCGUAGAGAUCAGGAAGAACAUCGGUGGCGAAGGCGCUCUGCUGGACCAUAACUGACACUCAGGGACGAAAAGCUAGGGGAGCGAAUGGG
rnacentral:rRNA from 1 species